CAGUAGCCACGGGAAUACGAAGGGGGCUAGCGUUGCUCGGAAUUACUGGGCGUAAAGGGAGCGUAGGCGGACAUUUAAGUCAGGGGUGAAAUCCCAGAGCUCAACUCUGGAACUGCCUUUGAUACUGGGUGUCUUGAGUGUGAUAGAGGUAUGUGGAACUCCGAGUGUAGAGGUGAAAUUCGUAGAUAUUCGGAAGAACACCAGUGGCGAAGGCGGCUUACUGGUCCAUUACUGACGCUGAGGUGCGAAAGCGUGGGGAGCAAACAGGAUUAGAUACCCGCGUAGUCCCUGUCUCUUAUAC
rnacentral:rRNA from 1 species